GGGCCUAUAGCUCAGCUGGUUAGAGUACAUCCCUGAUAAGGAUGGGGUCGCUGGUUCGAGUCCAGCUAGGCCCACCA
rnacentral:tRNA from 1 species